GACGAACCGUCCUAACGUUGUUCGGAAUCACUGGGCUUAAAGGGCGCGUAGGCGGCCUUGAAAGUCGGGGUGAAAUCCCACGGCCUAACCGUGGAAGUGCCUCCGAUACUGCAAGGCUCGAGGGAGGUAGGGGCAGCUGGAACUUCCGGGUGGAGCGGUGAAAUGCGUUGAUAUCGGAAGGAACGCCGGUGGCGAAAGCGAGCUGCUGGACCUCUGCUGACGCUGAGGCGCGAAGCUAGGGAGCAAACAGG
rnacentral:rRNA from 1 species